rnacentral:lncRNA from 10 species
AGAGAAAUAUGAGAAGGAAAAGAAUUAUAACACAGGAUUCCUUCAACUUUAAUUGUGGGGGUAAAAUCAGGCAGCCACUGAAGAUAAAAUACAGUCCCUGGGAGUAAUCACAAUUCACAAUGCUGUUUUCUUUUGUGAAGUGGACAUGAAAGAGUUUUUUGGUUUUUUUGUUUUGUUUUGUUUUGUUUUUUGUUUUUUUUUUUUUUGCGCAAGUGGUCAGAAGUUGUUAAAAUUGUCCCCAUUCAUGGGUACAAAUUCUGGAGAUAUAUAAUGAUAGGUGGAAAAAAGAGAAACAAAAUUGUAUAUAAUUUAUUAUUUCAAUAAAAAUACACAUCCAUAUAACUUUUAUAGAAAGAGAAGACAUAAUACUGUUAUACCCAAAUAGCAACAAUAGUUAACUCUGAGAAGUAGCAUAUUAAUUGUUACUUUAUCCUUUGUUCUUUUCUAUGACUCCUUCAAGAGAACAUAUCUCACUUUGGUCAUUAGGAAAACUUUUCUUUUCUUUUAAAUAGUUCUAAAUUUAUAUGCCUAGUCUUAUUCAAAAUGCAACUGAGAGCUACUUCCUACUGUCCCCCUAAAUCUUCAGUUAAUCUCAUAAGAUAUGAGAACCACCCUGAUUUUAACAUUAGAGAUUGAGCCAUCUGUCUGAAUUAUGAAUUCUUUCAACAUUUAACUCAUGCUUACUAUGUGUCACGGGUAUUUUGUUAGACACUGGAAAUACAAAAAUGUAUAUAUGCAGACAAUUAUAAAACAAUGUAGAAAUGGAAUAAUAAAAUUAUUCACAGGGUAUUUUUGGAGCCUCAAGAAAAAAGAGCACCUAACUGAGUCAGGCUGGAGUUCACAGAGGACUUUCUAGAAAACAUGUUAUUUGAACUGGAGGGAGAUGAAGAGGAGAUGCUCUAUUACUCCGGGUUGAGAGGAUAGUAUUUGCAAAGACUUGGAGAUAAUCAGCAUGAAAGUGUAUGCAGGGAAACUUCACCUACAUUCUGUUCAUUUGACAUUGCUAAGAUGUGAUUCCCCACUCUUCAGUACAAGCUGCCUCCUCAGAUGUCCAGUGUUGCCAUCUCAUCUCCUAAACUGAGUAUGCUGUGUCUGUGGACAGGCUUUGACUGUGGGUAUCUUGGCCAGCAUGUUACAGUUUACCUACAUUUUGCUAGGAUCAUAUAAAUUCACACUAAUUCCACUAUUUGUUUGGGUUUUGGCCCCAGAAGUAUCUGUAGUGUAUUGGAUUUGGCAAGAUUUUACUCAAGUCAACGUGAUAUUUCGUUGGGCAACUUGAUCCUCUGCCUGUUCCCUAUCACCACCGUAGGUUUUAAGAAGUAUAUAUACUGGGGGAGAGCAAUGGUUCUCGAAGCCCAGUUCCUGGGCAAGCAACGUCACAUUCUAAAACUUGUUAGAAAUGAAAAUUCUCAGGCACUCUUGAGACCUACUCAAAUAGAAACUAUGUGAGUGAGCUCAGCAACCUGUGGCUUAACAAAUACUUCAGGUGAUUCUAAAAAACACUAAAUUUUAAGAACCAUUGAUGUAGAGAAAAUGGACAGGCAAUAAUUACUAGUAUUGAGUGUUGAUCUCAUGCCACAUGUAAUUUCCUGGUGACCUUGGUUGGAUCAGGAAGAGCUGUAAGAGGAGUUUCUGUAUGCAGUAGUUGAAGGUCUUGUGGGGACAUUUUUUCUUAGAAACUUGCCAUACAAAGCAUCUGCAGAAAUAGUGAGAUUGCAUCCAACACCAUCUUGGAACUUAUUGGAAGUUCAGAAUCUCAGAUCCUACAGUCCAUUUCAGGCCUAUUGAAUCAUAAUGUUUCUGCUAACUGAUCCCCAGUUGGUUAAAUUCAAGUUUGAGAAGUGCUAUGGCUAUACUCUUAUUUCAGACCUCAAUGCUUGCUUAACUACAAUUAUUUAAACAGUACCUGCAUGAGUUUUGCCUUAUUUAUGCACCAUGGUUACUAUUAUUUACUUAAAAUUUCUAUGUGAACCCAACUCAUACCUUAAAAAAUAAAUCGUUUUUAAAUUAGACUAUACCAAUUCCAUUGAAGGAAAAGCAUCUCAAUUUGCUUCAAGUAGAGAAUAAACAUAAAAAUACAGUGAAAAGUAAGAAAUAUUACUAAAUUAUAGCUAGAUAUUGUUGACUGCCAAAGGUUGCUAUGCCUGUAUUUCCACUGUGAAAAGGGAGAGGCACAAGUAUUAAAGAAAUGUUAAAACAUCUAGCUUAGAACUCAAACUCUCUCUGAAAAAGAGGACCAAAGGAGUAUUUGAAAGGGGAUUCUCAUUGUUAUGCCAUUCAAGAUUAGGGAAAGCUCAAUUCCUGGGAAACCUAAAAUUAUCCAAUUUACUACCUAAAAAUAAAGUCCUAGACCCCUGUCAACAAUUCUGUAGGAAACAGUGUUUCAGUACAGUGCUUCUCAAACUUUAAAGUGCAUUAAAAUCCUCUAGGGAUCUUGUGAGAAUGAGGAUUUUUAUUCUAUAGGUUUGGAAUAAACUGCAGGAUUCUACAUUUUUUAACAGGCUCCAAGGUGCCAUUGUUGAGGGGACCAUACUUUGAGUAGCAAGGGUGUAGAUAUUACCACCUAAAUAUGAAGAAACCACAAAGAGUUGCACAAGAAAAGGCAUUCAAUGAGAAAAGAGAGAGGUGAUGGAUGAAUACUUCCAUAUAGGCACCUGUAUACUUCUGCUGCUGAAGGUUCAACCCCACAUCACAGGAUGCAAUUGUGCCUUCAAUACCUCAAAGGUGGCAAGUAGCAUUGGUUGGAGUUGUGAGGAAAAUGAAGAUCUCUCAGGUUUGGAUUGUUGCAUCAACAAAGAAAUUGGACUGGGCACAGUGGUUCACGCCUGUAAUGCCAGCACUUUGGGAGGCCGAGGUGGGGGGAUCACCUGAAGUCAGAAAUUUGAGACCAGCUUGGCCAACGUGGUGAAACCCCAUCUCUACUAAAAAUACAAAAAAUUAGCCGGACGUGGUGGCGCAUGCCUGUAGUCCUAGCUACUUAUUUCGGAAUCGCUUGAACCUGGGAGCUGAAGGUUGGAGUGAGCCAAGAUCAUGCCACUGAACUCCAGCCUGGGUGACAGAGUGAGACCUUGUCUCAAAAAAACAAACAAAACAAAACAAACAAACAAAAACCAGAGUAAUUAGCUGGUCCGCGUUUAUACCUAAUGGUAGCUGAUUAUAGUGACUGGAGGCCCGAAACCAUUAAACAUCCACAUGAACACACUGCAGUCUGUCUUUUCAAGGGAGGCCUAAACUGGCCUGUCAAGCAUAGCUCAGUUGGACAGUGACAAAUUUUCUCAAAAAGGGGCCCAAGCUGUUCAAAACGGCAUUGGGUUCUAAGAAUAGUUCUAACACAGCAGCUCUGACAUUCUUUAACCCCAUUGUUCCCCCUAAAAGGGAUUCUACUUUUGGAUGACCCAUGCCUCUCAAUUUGGUCUUAUCUAACCUCUGAAUUUUAGUCUAGCUUAGUGCAGAUUGAUUGCACAGCCCUGUGCAGCAUUCACCCAGAGCACAUUUAUUAAGUUCUUACCAUAUGCAUCAAAAAAGUUGGAAGUGGAGGCAACAAAGCUCAGAUGAAAAGCUCUGUUCUUCACACUGAUGGAAAAUAGCAAUCCCAUCCCCUAAGUCUACACAGCCUGCAGCAGCCAAGAAAACCUAGAUCUGGCACACUUUACCAAAAAGAGAAAGCAAAACCAAUUCAGGACUCCAAAUCCAUGAGUCAUGAUGUUUGGCCACUAAUAGGAGCCUAAUUAGCCUGAUGAUUUUCCUCUUCAUGCCCUAGAGUCAUGGCCUUGGGCAUAAUCAUCACAGACACCAGUCCCCUAAAUUCAAAAUUCGUUUGUCAGCUCUCAGCCUGUGUCCAAUGAUGCAAAAAAAAAAAAUCGAUUUUGAUCUCUUCAGGCAAUCUGCCAGUCAGCUUAAUGUAAAAUAAUCAGCCAAAGUGAUGUUUAACUGAAUUGACUAGGUAUUUGGUAACUUUCUUUUUCUUCUUUGAAUUGACAGGUCAAAUCAGUCAGAAGAAAUUAUCAGCCUCAGGCAGACAAAGUCAAAAUUGUUGUCUCCUCUGCACUUUUUCCAAAUCACCCACCACAAAGUCCAGGUGCCUUUUAUUGUAUUGCUAAAAUAAGAUGCAAGAGAGGCAGAGAUAAAUCGGUUUACUUAGCAAAUAAUUAAAAAGAGUUUACUGUGUACCAGGCACUUUCCUAAGCACUUCACAAACAUUGACUAGUUUAAUUCUCUUAAGAAACAUAAAACACAUUAUUAACCCCAUUUUGCAGAUAACGAAACAAAUUCACAUAGAGAUCAAGUGACUGGAUGAAAAGCAGCCAGCCAGUGGGUGCUGGAUCCAGAUAUCACUCAAAACUACCCAUGAUCUUAACCAGUAUUCCUAUACUCCACUGCCUCGAACCCACGGUAGUCAGAGAUCACACUCCUAGGCCUGCCAAUGCUAGCCAGCUGAAGGUCACAGAGCUCAGUAGUGACCAAGACAGUAAGACAAUCUUGCCAAAGAUCCUUGGUGGGAUCAGAGUUGUCCUCUUCAAAGACUGACAAGGUCAUUAUUUAGGGAAUGGACGUAA